GGCGUUAUAGUGUAGUGGUUAUCACUCGGGAUUUUGACUACAUACCAGCAAUCUUCCCGAAACCCAGGUUCGAACCCUGGUAACGCCU
rfam:Coprinopsis cinerea okayama7#130 chromosome 8 cont3.8, whole genome shotgun sequence.